ACGGGGUGCAGCAGGCGCGAAAACUUCACAAUGUGCGGAAGCACGAUGAGGGAAUCCCAAGUGCUUGCACGUAAGUGUAAGCUGUUUUUAUGUUUAAAAAGCAUAGAGAGUAAGAGCUGGGUAAGACGGGUGCCAGCCGCCGCGGUAAUACCUGCAGCUCGAGUGGUGGCCGCUAUUAUUGGGCCUAAAACGUCCGUAGCCGGUUUAAUAAAUGCCCGGGUAAAUCGUGUAGCUUAACUAUACGAAUUCCGGGUAGACUGUUAAACUUGAGACCGGGAGAAGUUAGAGGUACUCCUGGGGUAGAGGUGAAAUUCUGUAAUCCUAGGGGGACCACCGGUGGCGAAGGCGUCUGACUAGAACGGGUCUGACGGUGAGGGACGAAGCCCUGGGGCGCAAACCGGAUUAGAUACCCGGGUAGUCCAGGGUGUAAACGCUGCUUGCUUGAUGUUGGUUGGGCUCCGAGCCCAAUCAGUGUCGGAGAGAAGUUGUUAAGCAAGCUGCCUGGGAAGUACGGUCGCAAGGCUGAAACUUAAAGGAAUUGGCGGGGGAGCACAGCAACGGGUGGAGCGUGCGGUUUAAUUGGAUUCAACGCCGGAAAACUCACCGGAGGCGACGGUUACAUGAAGGCCAGGCUGAUGACCUUGCCAGAUUUUCCGAGAGGUGGUGCAUGGCCGCCGUCAGUUCGUACCGUAAG
rnacentral:rRNA from 1 species